ACCAUACACAAUGUAAUACAAUUCAGCUUUAAAAAAAAAUCCUGUCAUUUGUAACAAGAUGCAUGAUUCUGGAGAACAUUAUUCUAAGUGAAAUAAGCCAGGCACAGAAAGAAAAAUACUGUAUUAUCUCACCUAUAUGUGAAAUCUAAAAACAUCAAAUACAUGGAAGCAGAGUAGAACAGUGGUUACCAGGGGUCAUCAGGAAUGAGAAAUGGGGAGAUGUUGGUCAAAGGGUAAAAACUUGAAGCUCUAAGAUAAAUAAUUUCUGGAGAUGUACUAUAAAACAUGACAAUAUAAUUAAUAAUAAUAUAGUACAUACUUGAAAUUUGUUAAGAGAAUAAGUAUUCUCAGCACUCACACAAAGGUAACUAUUUGCUGUAGUUACUGCAUCACAUUUUAAAAACUUUCUUUUAAAAGUAGGUGAUGGAUUUGUGAAUUAGCUUGUGAUAAUCAAGAUAUUUAUUGUAUAUUGUAUGCUGCACAUUAAAACAUCUUCUACACUUUGAAUGUAUACAAUUUUGUCAAUAAAGCUGAAAAAAAGAUCAGGUCUUCUUAUCUUAUGGUUCUUCUCCUAAAUAAACCUCACUGAGUGUGCAAGCAAUACCUGUGGGAAUUCGGGUUUGGGAACUGACACCAUAAUGUUAAUCUGGCUACUGCUGUUCUUGUGAGUAAUAAAUGCCUUUUGUCCCGGAUGUAGGAGUCUAGAAUGUAUCAAAUAGACAAGCUAGUUUGUUAGCUUGCAAAUAAGGUAAAAUCUCAGACCUUUACAUAGUUCUUAAUUUUCUUAAAUACAGGUACCACAGUUGAAACUUGCUAGAAGCAAAUUAGAUUGUUUGUGUUUCUUGACCUUGGAAUAAAUGUACUGAUGAGGGCAAGGGACAUAUUUCCUUCAUAAUAAAGUACAUAAAUUAUAAUAGAAGUAAAAUAAAAAUAUGGCUCUAGGCCAAGAGUCUAGAAACUUUUCCAAAUCCUCUAAAAUUAAUUUCUUAUGACUGCAGUUUUGUAACACAUGGGAAUUUCUAUAUAUUAAUCACCUCCUUUUGUACCCAUACAAAUAAACCAAAUGAACAAAGCAAAAAAUAAUUUGUAACAAGUCAAAACAUUGUAAAAUUAAUUUAUGAGAAUAAAACUAUACAUUAGUAGUAUAAUAUUAUAUGACAAUAGGAAUGAAUAUACAAAACUAAACUAACACUUCCCCCAUUGGCUUAAUUGGUUCUGGAUAGAAGAAUCAAGGCAGAAAAAAAUGUACAUUUUAAAAAAGUCUUGCCUUCUGAGAAAUAAGCCCUGGAUUACGGGAAAAUUCUAAAAGCCUUGUCUCUAGAUUAGAUUUCAAGUAUCAAAGUGAAGAAGAACUAUUUUUAAAGCAACAUAACCCAAAUACUGUCCAAUUAGUAUUGUUGACUGUCAUAUAACAAUUUAAAUAUAAACGUAUCUUUCUCUCUUUAUCCCGGUGGUCCAGUAUAUUAGUCCGUUUUCAUGCUGCUGAUAAAUACACACCUGAGAGUGGGCAAUUUAUAAAAGAAAGAGGUUUAUUGGACUUACAGUUCCACAAGGCUGGGGAGGCCCCAAAAUCAUGGCAGAAGGCAAGGAGGAGCAAGUCACAUCUUACAUGGAUGGCAGCAGUCAAAGAGAUAGCUUGUGCAGGGCAACUUCUGUUUUUAAAACCAUCAGAUCUUGUGAGAUCCACUCACUAUCAUGAGUACAGCAUGGAAAAGACCCAUUCCCAUAAUUCAAUAAUCUCCCACCGGGUCCCUACCACAAUAUAUGGGAAUUAUGGGAGCUACAAAAUGAGAUUUGGGGAAGGGCACAGUGGCUCACGCCUGUAAUCCCAGCACUUUGGGAGGCUGAGGCAGGGGAUCAUGAGGUCAGAAGUUUGAGAUGAGCCUGGCCAACAUGGUGAAACCCCGUCUCUACUAAAAAAUACAAAAAUUAGCCGGGGGUGGAGGCAUGUGCCUGUAGUCCCAGCUACUCAGGAGGCUAAGGCAGGAGAAUUGCUUGAACCUGGGAGAUGGAGGUUGCAGUGAGCCAAGAUCAUGCCACUGCACUCCAGCCUGGGUGACACAGUGAGACUCUAUCUCAAAAAAAAAAAAAAAAAAAAAAGGAUUUGGAUUUGGGUGGGGAAACACAGGCAAACCAUAUCAUCCAGUUUUACUGAAAGAGGAGUAUCCUGCAUUAUGCAAAGCUGAAUUCCACUCUACAAUAAAAUAAUUGUUUAUGUGGUUUGUUUUUAAUCUAUUUUUGACACCACCACGUCUUGAGGUACACCAUCACAUGUCUUGAGUCUUGAGGUAAAGAAAACCAUCUUUUUCCUGUUUUAAGCCUCUCAGCCUUUCAUUUCCACACUCACACACACACACACACACACUCUCACACACACACAAACUCUUAUCAUAAGAGAAGAUAAUCUAGAUUUCCCUUUUGUGUUUAAACUAUUUUGUAAAAAUACAAUAAAACAGAGUCUUAAAUUUUUCUUUUUUUAGAUUUUGGAGAAACACUAAUCUUAGGCACAUUUUAAAAGUAAAAACAAAGAUACUCACAGGCAUGCACACACACACAUACACACACCUAAGUCUUUCCUUUAAACAAAAAAACUGCUAUUUCAUAAAUCUCUAAAAGAUAUUUUUUAGAAUUGACAUAAGAAAGAGUAGCAGCUACAUUCAUAUAUCAGAAAAUCCUUGACAAAGCAGCAGCAGAGAUGGAUUUCUGAGAGGCUACCUUCUCCUAUGCCAUCGUUAAACCAAACUGUGUUUUUACUUAGGAGAGCUGGAGAUACCUUAAAGUUAUGCUCCUAAGAGCCAGAGACCCUAAGCCUUUCUCAGUAUAUUAAUUACCUGAAGGACAUGUGGAACCAAAGCAAAUAAUUGGACUCAGAAAGAGAAAGGCAGCAAUUACAGGAAAAAAAGUGAUCCAAAAUCAGGUAUGAGGGCAAUCAGUACAGAUUGCCUCAAGUCAGAAGGCUAAGAAGAGACUACAUAAGGAAAAUGAAAGUGCUAAAAUAUCUGCUGUGAAUAACUGUAUGAGAGGAGACUUUGAUAGCUAGCAAAGACUUUAGUUUUGGGUAAGUAAUAAGAACAUACAAAAAUCAAGUACGUGGGGGAAAAGGCCAACCUUAAUUCCAGAAAAAACAAGGUGUUGUGCAGGAAAGAAAUAGUAAUCAUAGUCUAACAAAUGGCUCAGCUGUAAAAAAAAAAAAAAUACACAUAUAAUCAUAUAAAUACUACACAGUUGUCUAACAAAAGUUAUAAUUUGGAGGGAGGAGGAGUUGAGGCACAAAGAGAUGAUUGAGGCACAGAGGGAAAAAAGAGAAAUGAUUCUUCAUCUUGCACGUUGAAAUGCAGAUAAACUAUGCCUAAAACUGAAAAACCAGUAAGUUGCUAUAUAAGCCUAUUAUUUUGAAAGAAAGAUACAUAACAAUAAAAUAACCAGAAAAUUCAAAGUGGAAAUGGAGAGAGGUGGAUUGGUGACUGCUGUUUGCCUUAACACACUGCUAUGGACUGAAUAUUUGUGUCCAUUCAAAAUUCGUAUUUUGAGACCUGAAUAGUUUAUUAAGAGAUAUGACUUUUGGGAGGUGAUUAGGUAGAGUGAAGCCCUUGUCACUUGUAUUAGAGUGUUUAUAAAAGGAGCCAAAAGGAGCUUAUUUCCUUCUUCUGCCAUGUGAGGUCACAGUGAAAAGAUACCUUCUAUGUCUCAGAAGAUGGCCCUCAGAAGACAUGUAAUCUUCUCGCACCUUAAUCUUGGACUUCUCAGCUUCCAGAACUGUGAGAAAUAAGUUUCUGUUGUUUAUAAGCUACUCAAUCUAUAGUUCUUUUUUAAAUAGCAACCAGAAUGGACUAAGCCACAUACUCUGUAGAAUUAGCUGACUCUUUAAACUAUGUGCAUGUAUAACUUUAAUACAAAAUUUUAAUUAAAAAUAUAUUUGACUUAAAUGGCUGUAAUGGAAGUAUAUAGAGAAUCAUCAGAAAAUGCUCAAGAAAGUGGGGAUAGGUAAUUCUGGUAGAAGAAAAAAAUAAAACCUGCAUGGAGACCUUGUUAAUACUGAGCAUUUUAACUCUUAAAGGGAGGACUUGUUAGAAUAGUUGAAACACUUACUGCUAAAUACCAAGAAUUAUUGACAUUAAAAGUUCAAUAAACGUUCAUUCAUCUCUACUCAAUAAUAAAUAAGUAGGGAAAAGUCUCAUGAGAGAGACAUUACAGCAGCUAAAGAUAUCAGGGUGGAGGAUGUUCUGAACACUGCAUUAGUGUGUGAGUGUGCAUGUGUGUGUAUGUGUGUGUGAUGCCUAGACAUAGAUAGAGCCUUAAAUGCACUGAAGAUUUUAACUAUCAAAAGGUUAACCCUGUCCACUAAAAUGUUUGUCAAACACAAGAAAUUGCAAUUAUAAUGGUUUUAUAUAUUCCAUCCAGUUCAGAAUGGUUAGAAAUAAAGUCAACAGACAGUAUUUAUGACCGCUAUAAUCAAAAAUGGCACUGGGUUCCAAAGAUUCUAACAGUGAUUCCAGGUCACUAAUCCCAUGUGCCUCUGGGCCAAAAGUCAUCACCUUUUAAUACCUAUAGUUAUGAUCUAGUAUCUGCUUGUUCCACAAGCCAGGUCUCCACAAUACGUCUAAGUCACAAUGGGGUUUCAAAAGGCCCAGUAUUCCCCACAGCCCCUCAGAUCAGACAUUUUGUUUUCCUCUCACCUGGACCAUCUGAAUCAAAUCAGAUUUUUAAAUCCUGUGAUAAGGACAGUUUGCACCUAAGCCUCUAGAUGGGAAUUUCAUGUAAACUGUAAGAAUGAGAAGCUUGGAGAAAUCCAAGUGCUUUAGGGCCAACUAAAUAUUUUAACUAUGCCUUUGGUAUCAAAAGUUUCUGAUUCAAGAUAAGGGCCCCUGAGGUUUUUAUACAGCAUGAAUUAGUUACAGGAUGGUAAUUUAAACAAAUUUGUGUUCUUACAUAUGUAGCGAGAUUGAUGUAGGAGAGUUCUUAAAUCACAUUCGUAAAUAUUAGAGUAAUUCUGAAUUUCUUGGAUACGUUACUCUGAAGCUAACUUUAACAGUAGUGGUAAUUAUAAAUGUGGGAGGGGCACGGACCACACAGAUGUUACAGGAUAUAAUUUAUAGUCUUGUGAUCCAAACUAAAAGAGAAGUACAACUUAGUAGACUUUACCUUGAAAAUUAAUGGUUUGCUACAUAAUUAAUGUAUCUCUUCAUGAAUGGAGAAAAAAUUAGCUUAGCUACAAGAACAGGCUCAACUGAUUCAUGGGCUCUUAUGAUUUUUUUUUUUCCUGCACAAAGUUUCAAAUGACUAGAUUGUGCUUUCUGAAAAUUAUUUAGGUGUUAUUUAACAGAAAGGAAUUGGAAAAAGGUAAUCAUUGCUUCAUAAGUAGCAUUAUUAUGGCAUUAUAACUUUAAAGAUAUAAUACUUCUCAGCUAAUUGCAUUGUGUGAGUAUUGGAAACUGACUUAAUAAGCAACUUACCAGUAUCUGUUGCUCUUGCUGUAAGACCAUUUGCUAUUUGGAUGCCAGACUAAAAAUCCAUUUGAUAAUGAUUCUAAGUCUUGAGUCACAUUCACAAAUGUGAAUGUUUUCAAUAUAGCAUCUGCACUGCUAGCAAUCCAGAAAAUAUUUCAAGUAGUACUGGAGAUCAUUCAAUACAAGCCAGAUUAUAAGAGAUAAAGUUGCAACCAUGCAGAUGACUAGGUGCCUACUCCCUGCCCCCUCACAUCAUAUUAUUCUGGGUGAGUAGCAAGCUGGAUUACACUCUCCCUUACCUGUCCUCAGUCAAAUGAUCAGGCCCAAUGUCAACACAACUGAGACUUAAUAGAGACCUAUUCAUAGUGAAAUUGAAUACUCCUCUAGACAGAAGAUAUGUGGUAGUCAAGACAUCCAAUGUUUGGCAUUUCAAAAAAUAAGUUCCAUAGAAGUGUUUUGAUAAACUUGUCUGAGUAUACCUCUGUCAUAAAAGGAUGCUUCUGGUUUACCAGGGUGGUGUAUGAUACCAAGGCAAGAGGCCUACUUAACUGUGGGCUAUUGGUAUGAAAAGGACAUACAGAUGGAUAUUGAUCAAAUUUCCCUGUAUCUUGCUAGGAGGUAGAUAGCCUGUUUUUGUUUGUGUGUUUGUUUGUUUGUUUGUUUUUUCCAAAUUCCUAUGGGAUAUACUUUCACAUUGUAGCAGCAUAUCUGACAUCACCAUGGUAAGAAUCCUGCAUUGCUGUUCAAGGACGUUUUCAUUCUCUUGUAAAGUUUCAUAUAGCAACCUCAUAAAUGAUAGUAAAGCAAAGGUUUGCUAAAGAUAUAUACCAUGCAAAAGACACACAUUGCCUUCAGUGCACAUGCCUGACAAAACCUUUACAUUUUUCUUGAUUAUUUACAUGACAAUCUCUUUAGUGGUUUUCACCAUUAGAGAAAAGAAUCCUGGAACUUCUCUUUGAGGAAAC
rnacentral:lncRNA from 1 species